ensembl:snRNA U6 U6 spliceosomal RNA
AUGUUCACUUAAGCAGCCCAUAGAGUGAAACUGGAAUGAUACAGAGAAGAUUAACAUGGCCAUGCACAAGGAUGACAUGCAAAUUCCUGAAGUGUUACAUAUUUUU